UUAUAUUUCGCGCACUUUAUCGUCAACCGAUGUUCGUGAACGUACCUUAUAUCAAACGCAGAGCGUAUCAGCUGAGUCGAACGGCGUCUUAUCAGUACCGUGAUAUGGAAAUAAGCGAUAACGCAACCAACCAACAAAAUAGCGCUCCCAAAAUAACAACCGGUGCACAAGUUAUACCACAGUGAGGUGAAGCCCCAACUGCAGGACUACAAUAAUUAGGUAGGAUGGUAUUCCGGGUACUUAUCGUUCCGGUGUCCUCCACGUCACCUUCAGCUAGAUGGAAGGGUUCUCCUCAAAAAGGAUUCGGGAAUCCGGAUUUAAGUCAUAAUCGAGCAAUCACAGCAAGACCCCGAAAAUCGUGGCUCCAGGAGCUGCUGAAUUUUCCUUUAGCGUCCAGGCAAUGAAGCACCAAACGAAGGUAACUUGGUGGAAAACUCCGGGUGAGUAGUACACUCCAAUAAUAAAAGCCUAAAAAAAACGAAGUUCUAGAAAAUUCGCCAGGAAAUUGACAAUGGGGCACAAAUUGGUUCAUUGACGAGAAAAGUUGAAACUGUGAGAAUAUUUAAUCAUUUUACCUCUGGAUGGGCGAGGCUGCUUUAGAUAUUGAGGGUGUGGUGGCGUCCAAAAAAAAUCCAACAAACGUUGCGUGCUUUGCAAGCACCUUUUCCUCCGGUUUUUUUCCAAAAUCGAACACAAUAAGUCGUUUGAGUAAGACCUUAGCGACAAUUACUCCAAGCAAUUUCACAAAUCUAAACUUUUAGGUCUCUCAAAGCUAAAAAUUCCGGGAACAGAAUUCGCACAACCACACAAGAAGGUUAGCAAAAAUUUAACGGAUGAAGAUAUUUUUUUUUUGCCUCAAAAAAAGUGAUCCGUCAUCAGCAGAAGCCUUCCCGCCUUUUUAGGAACCAAUUAGAAUUGAGUUUAUUUUCGACAAGAUGGUGUCAAUUCCGGUGGCGCUGUUGUUCAGUUCGAGUCAAAAAUCCCUAUUUCAGAUGACAAGGCGACAGGGUUGCCAAAAGAUGAUGACGUGUUUUGUUUACAGUAACCUCAAAUGGUGAACAACAUAAAAGGUUUGCGAGGGACGCUAUUCUGGCAUAAAUAUAAUAAGUGUAAACUAUGAUGGAAUGUUUAAUAAAACGGUAUCCUAUU